rnacentral:rRNA from 1 species
UGAGGAAUAUUGCACAAUGGGCGAAAGCCUGAUGCAGCGACGCCGCGUGGGUGACGAAGGCCUUCGGGUCGUAAAACCCUUUUGGCAGGGACGAGUGAGGACGGUACCUGUCGAAUAAGUCUCGGCUAACUACGUGCCAGCAGCCGCGGUAAAACGUAGGAGGCGAGCGUUAUCCGGAUUCACUGGGCGUAAAGCGCGCGUAGGCGGUUAGGUAAGUCGGGCGUUAAAGCCCCUGGCUCAACUGGGGGAGGUCGUUCGAUACUGCUUGGCUUGAGGGUGAGAGAGGAAAGUGGAAUUCCCGGUGUAGCGGUGGAAUGCGUAGAGAUCGGGAGGAACACCAGUGGCGAAGGCGGCUUUCUGGCUCACUUCUGACGCUGAGAGCGCGAAAGCGUGGGGAGCA